UGUAGAGUCACUACUUGUCUUCUCUGUUGCACAGCCCUCCCCCAACAUUAUACAUGCUAAUCGUAAUGCUCCCUUUAAAAGCCCUUAUGUUUUAAAUAAGCUUCUGGGGUUUUUCUCAUUUAAUAUGAUGUUAAGAUUCAUUCUUUGCCAGUGUGUACUGCAUUUGGUUUGCUUGCUGGGUAGAGUCCACUGUGUGACUCUCUUACAGGUAAUUCAUCAGUUUUCCCAUUGCGUCUCUUCUGGUAAGUGUAAUUAGGUAAAUGACAGGUGGUGCUCGCUCUCUACACAGAGCUAAAACUUGGCUAAAAUCAGCACCACUAAUCCCCAAACCCUGUCCCCGCAGCAGUGAGCAGUGUUACCCAUUUGCACGACUUCCUGCCAGAUCUUUUCCUUUAUCCACAUCUAAAGAAGAUGUUGCCCUGUUUUUCUUUCUCUUUUCUACAUAUAUGGGGAAGCAUUAACUUCUAUAUAAUACUACUGUACACUGUAUGUCACUAUUGACUUGCCUUUUUUGUCGAACAAUAGGGAGAUUCAUAUUGGAAACAGAACCGUCAUUCGGUUAAUCAGCAUAGUGUUCCUUCACGUGGACUGGCCAUGGGUUACUUAGCUGUUCUGACACUGAUGGAUAUUUGCACUCUUUCCAAUCUCUUUAAGUUUCAAAGAAUACUGUGUGAUGUCGUCCUUGUAUGACAUGCGUGUUUCAUGGGGUAGGUGCCGAGUCAUGGGACGUGGAUCAGACUCUCUCUAUUCUGCUCCAUUCUCCAGGGUGGGUGCACAAAUUUGCGUACCUGACGAUGACAGUAUCUUUUUGUCCACAUCCUUUCCGAUGCUCUGUAUAGCGCCUUUUGACUUCUGCCAGUUCCCUCCUUUAAUCUGUCAUGUAUUCAGUGACCCACAUAGACUUGAAUUGGUACAAUGGGUUCUUGUCAUCUGAGGGUUUAACACGUGUAGGUUUGGUGCUGAUAGGGGCCACAGGAUCAAAAACACAAUAGUUAUCAUUUUAUUGAGAUGUAAUUUUUUUAUGCCAAAUGUUCUGCAUCCAUGUCACACAUGGCUUUGUUGUCUGCUUCUCUGCAUUGCUGCAGCUCUUCUGAAGGGACCUACAAUUUGCAGAUUUACGUAAGUUCAUGGCUAAUGUUACUAUACUCUGUGAUGUUGUAAUGGGACUAUGAGGUGUAUGUUUGUGGCAGAAUUUAUUUUCAUCUUUUUACAAGCUACUACUUUUGUAUUUAAAAUUUAAACACUACAGAACACAAUGUAUAAAAUAAAAGUUCUCUGUAAUUCCUCUCCCCAGAUAACUACUAAUGACAACUUCAUUUAUAUUUUCUUCAGACAUUUUCCCUCCAGGAAGUACUAAAAUUUAUCCUAUUAUUAUUAUCUGCUCUAAUGUGGAAUCAUACAAGACAGACUGUUUUGUAACUACUUUAUUAUUUUCCUGGCUCCAUAAUAUUUCAUCUUGACGUGUUUGUAAUUAUUUUAACCAUUUUCCUAUUUAUUGAUAGGCCUUUAGGGCAUCUGUAGGGCUCUCUGGCCUUUGUGCAGCGAGCUUCCUACCGCCUGCUGAUGCUCGCCUUAGGGUAGUAAUGCUGGGAGGCGGAGUGAGAGCUCCCUAUUUGCAAAGCCGCAGGUGUCCGCAGCCCCUCCCACCCCCCGCAGCACCAAGUCUCUGCCCGCCCUGCGCUGUCUGGGUCUGGGGCUCUCAGUCCUGUGAGGUGGAUUGAGGGUUUCUGCUGCCAAAGUAGAAUAAUGCUGGCCCUCUGACAUGCGGUGGAAUCUAACUAAAACUGUUUACUUGCUAAAACUGCCUUUCCAUACCGGAAUUCAGUACAAGAUGGUGUCUGACUUAUUUGGCACAAAACAAGAAUGGACCUAACCAGACUCAGAGUCUACUUCCUGGCGUUUCUCCUAAGCAGAUCUAAAGCAACUAUUCUAGGAAAGCAACUGUGACAUUUGCAAAAAGUGGCAUUUAAUUAUUUAUCUUGUUUGUUUGGUCUGUUGAAAUCUUACCUGGCUUCUGCCUGUAGGUGUUUCUAGUCCUCCGUGGAGAAGGCCUGCGUUCGCUGGGGCAGGUCGGCUCGCCCCUGCCUUUCUGCUUGCACAGCCUUGGGUGCUUUCCAUCGAAGCACAAGCUCUCUCUCCCUAAGAGGCCACCAAUGCCAGGAGCACAGCCUUAUGCUUACCUGUCUCAGCCUCUGGGGGAUUGAUGCACCCCCUUACUCGUCUGUCGAUGUGGCUGCUGUGUGACCUGCUCCCUGUGUGUCAAAGCAAGACCCAGCCUCUGCUCUGUGCUGACCCCAAGGGCAAAGGCUCUGCUGUUUUCUUCCAAUUUAUUUAACUUACAGGUAAUACCUGCACAUGUUAAACACUCAAACCCUGUAGGAGACACAGUGAUGUCUCUCUCUAAUAUAAAUAAGUAUAUUUAUACUUAUCAAUGUUUUCUUUUAUAUGUUCUGGAUUUUAUGAGUAGUUCAGAAAGGCUAAUCCAGCUCAAGGUUAUUUUGUGUUAAACCUUAUGUUUUGUACCAAUUCUUUAAAGGUUCUAUUCUUAUUUUAAUCUUAGAUGUAUCUGGACUUAAUUUUGGUAUAAUGAAUGACUUAGGAAUGGCCAGCCUCUUGUCCCUACACCAUUUACUGAUGCAUAUAUCUGUCCAUCAUUGAUCUUCUAUUAAUGUGCCAGUUCCAGUUUUAAUUUGUUACAUGAUAAGGAUAGCCCUACUUCAUUCUACUUUUCCAGAAUUUUUCUGGUUAUUUUUGCACAUCCACUUUCACAUCUCUAUGCUGUCUUCCUGCCUUUGUCUUCCUGUGCAAGAAUAAGGUAUGUCCUCCCAUUUCUGUAUGUUUCAUUGGGUUUUGUAAUAUAUAGAAACUGUGGUCAGCUAGGCUGGUCUUGGUCUGUCUGCAACUACCUAAUUAUUUUCAUGCUCCAAAAUAUUUAAUCUUGUGCAUGUUAUAGUAAUUUUAGCCAUGUCCCUAUUGAUGUGUAUCUGGAUCUCCUGUCCCACCUCCUGGCAGCCCCCACACUAGUCAUAACGCCCACCUCCACCACAGAGCACUUUCUUUUAUUUGCUGUGCCUAGCGGUUACUUACUGCUGUCAAACUGGUAAUGUGCAGUUCAGUGGACUUUACAGAUGAAAUGCUCCUAAACACACUGUCUUACUAAAAAUGUCAAUGUAUUUAUGCAAACUCAAUGUAGAGAAUGAAAUGGGCAUGUUCUAGAAGGUCACAUUCUAGGAGAAGAGUUGGACUAGCAGGGUUUGUGUUCUGAACCUCUGCCCCUGUGUGGCGGUCUCUGUGUCCCUGGGGAGUUCGUGCACCCAUAAAGGCUAAAUGGAAUCCUCUUCUGGGGACCUGCACUAACCCCAUGCUCAACCCCUGAACCACCCUUUUCUCCUGUCCACAACCCACUGGAACUAUUUAUAAAACAUAUCUCAUGCUUUCUACCUUACCUUUCUUACUAUACAGACCAGAAUUUGCCAUUUCUUCAUUGCCUCAAGACCGUCGUGUGCACAUCGUCCUGUUCAGCACACAGUAGUUCCUUCAGGGGCUGCUGAGGUGGGGCCUGUGUGUCUCUUCAGUCUGCUCACCAGCCUGGCCCUUGUGGUGAGGGGACAGCUGAGGCUUCUCAGAGUCCUCCCACCGUGCCAUACCUGGGCUGGCUGUAGGCGUCUGUAGUAGAGGCCCAACCAAAAGGGCUGGGAAGCAAGCCAGCCAAGCCAUCUCCUCACUUUACUGUUACACAGAGGUCAGAGGUGGCCUGAGUCUGCUUCAGAAACAAUGUGCAUGGGCUUGCUUCUUAACCAAAUACUGUUCUGAUUUCUGAUUGGUAUUUUUUUCUGACAUGUUGAAAUAGGAUGCUGUUCUCUGUUUUCAAAGGCCUUGUUUUGCACGAAUCGGAUUAUUUCCUUGAUCUAAUUUCUUAGCAGUGACAUUACUGGCCCAGAGGGUGUGACCAGUGGGAAGGCUUUUGACUAGAUGGCCAAGCACCCCCCGUAAAGGCCGCCCUGGCUCAGCCCUCCCCAGAGAGGCAGCAGCAGCGCUUCCGCCCAACCUUGGCCUGACCAGUUUCGAAGGCAAAAAACAGUCUCAGUGCUUUGAUUUGCAACUUUUGAUUCUGAAGGAAACCUGUAUUUGUCAACGGAUCUGUGUGUCUGCUUUGUGCUGUACUAAAUUUUCACUUCCUGAGAGCUCUUCCCUUGCCGCCAUUACCCUUAUGUAUUAUGAAAGUCUUCCUAGUAGAGCGCCUUUUAGAUGUACAUGUUGGAUCUUGUGGGGACUUCUCAAUCUUCUAAUCGAAUCUGUCUUUUAUUGUCAUGGUGUUACUGGUGUUAUCCUGUAUUUUCCUCUGGUUCCUUUGUGAUUUCAUUUCCGACAUUCAACACUUUAUCCACCUAGAAGUUGUUUUGGUGGCCAGUAUGAGGUAAGAAUCUAAUCUAGUUAUUUCAAAAUGGCUAACCAGUUUCCCCAGCAUCAUUUACUGAGUAAAUUCCACUUUUUCUACUGAUUUGAAAUGCCACCUGUUAAUUAAGGACUGAAUACUUUAAGUCUGUUUCUGAACAUUCCAAUCUGUUCCACCAAACUGUCUUUUCUUUGCCAACCCAAUGCCUUAAUUACAUUAGCUUUAUAAUAUCUGAUUCUACUAUAUUGUAAUACAGGCCCCAUCAUUCUUUUUUAGAGCAUGUAAAUUUUUAUUGGAAUUGCAUUACAUCUAUAAAUAUGUUAUGAUAUUGAGACUUCCUAUUGAGGAACUGUCCUCUCUGUUCAAGACUGGAUGAUGUUUCACAUUCCUCAGGAAUUUUAGACUUAAAAUUAGUUCUAGAAAUGUUACAUUCUGUAUUUAGUUAGAUAUGUUUUUCUAUUACAUUUUUUUAUUAUGGUAGCAUAUGGUAAGACUUGUUUUAUGUGUGUGCAUGUGUAUGUGUGUAUUUAAAUAAAUAUGCUGAACUUGAAUUGUAGGGCCAGUUGGGAGGCAAUAUGUAGCAUCUUGGCUAAAAGGGCAGGAUUUUGAGUCAGAUGAUCCUGUUCUAAUGCAAGACCCACCUCUUAUUUAUUUUCUGUGUGAUCAUCUCCUACCUCGGUUCCCCAUCUGUAAGAAGGGAUAAUCACAUUAUCUGCUAAGAAUUGGGAUCAGUGCUUCGUAACUUUUUAUGACUAAAUAAUAUUCCACAUUCCACUGCAUGACUAUACCACCUGUUUACCCAUUCUUCAGUUGGACAUUUGGGUUGUUUCCUCUUUGUUGGCUAUAAUGAAUAAUGUGUCUGUGAGCUUUUGUUUGAACAUACGUUUUAAAUUCUUUUUGGUAUACAUCUAGGAGCAGAAUUGCUGGGUAAUAUAAUAACUGUGUUUAACUUUUUGAUGGAUUGCCAAACUGUUUUCCAGUGUAGCUGUACCAUUUUACAUUCCCACCAGAAAUUUGUGAGGAUUCCUCCAUGUUCUCAACAACACCUGUUCUUAUCUAUCUUUUUGAUUAUAGCCUUCCUAAUGGGCAUGAAUUGGUACCUCAUGGAGUUUUGGUGUGCAUUUCUCUGACCAAGGAUGAAGGUCAAGCACCUUUUCAUGUGUUUGUUGGCUGUGUCCUAAUCUUUUCUGGAGAAGUGUCUAUGCUGAUCCUUCAUCCACUUUUUAAUUGGGGAUUUGUCUUUUUAUUAUUGAGUUUUAAGAGUUUUUUUUCAUUAAAAAAUUUUUAUUUAGGUAUAGUUGACAUAAUAUUAAUUUCAGGUGUAAAACCUAACAGUUCUUUAUAUAUUCUGUAUACUAGAUCCUUAUCGGAUGUAUGGUUUGUGCAGAUAUUUUAUCCUAUAGCUGUGGGUUGUAUUUCUACUUCAUCGUGUCUUUUGAUACAAAAUAUUUAUAUUUUAAGUGACUGAAUUUAGGGAAAAAGAAAAAAGGACUGGCUGUACUCAGGCAUGGCAAAAAACCUCAAGGUGCUGUAUGAAUGAUUAAGAUUUGGGAAGGUGGUCCCUGUGAGACCACAGGUGUCUGGAGGCGGAGAAAGAGGGCGACCCUUAACCAGGAAGUGGGCGGGGCGCGCUGCACCGGUGCAACCGGCGGAGUCAGCGGGCAGGGCCCGCUAGGUGUGCUGGGACCACCUACUGUGAGUUUGCUCAGAAGUGGUGGUUGUUUAAGUCGGUGGUAAAUACCGGAUUUAUCCAAAUGUCUUUCCUGCGUCUUUUGAGAUGAGCAUCAAUCAGGUUUUUCUCCUGUCGUCUUCUCAUGAUUUAAUUGUAUUAAUGGAGUAUGAAGCCCUCCUGCGAUCGUUGAAACAAACCACUCCCUGGCCAGGAGCUUUAGUCCUUCAAGAUAGAAGUGAAGCGGAAGGUCCACUGGGGCCUGGGGCGUUGUAAGGCAGGUUUUGGUAUCAAGGUAUCAGGAUAUCAGGAAAGCCAGAGACACAGCGAAGAGCAGAGGCUAAGAGCACACCGUUGAGCCGGACUCUGGUUUGCCACUUAAUAGCAUGUGACUUGGGCCAAAUUUCUUAAAUUCUUGAAGCCAGUUUUCCUCAGUGAUAAACUGGGGACAAACGUAGUUUUAGAACCUAACUUGCAGUUUUCCUGAAGCUGCAACAGGUGGCAUGGUGCAGGCGGUCUGAGUGAGGGGCGCUGCGGUGCCUGCCCGUCAGGACGGAGAUAGGGCGGCCAGCCGGCCCCCGACCUCCCCUGCGCCCGCGGCAGAGCGGCGUGCCCUGCGCCACCCGGGCCACUGCCUCUUUUCGGAGGUUCAGCGGUUCUUUUGAAGGUUUUUCCAUUUCUUCCUGAGUUACUGGGCUAGUCAGUAUUUCACUGUUUAAGUAUUACUUCAUUCGACAUUCAGUUCUUCAAAGUUUUCUGAAAAAAAUUGCCUUUUUCAUAUGUAUUAAUCUACACUCUCUUUUUACAUUUUAAUAUCCUCCUUAUAAAUAUUUUUUCACUUUAUUACUAGUUUUUCUUUAUCUUGAAUAGACUUUAAAGAAAUCUAUUUUACUGGCCUUUUCAAAGAAACAGAUUUAGAUAUAAUAAGCAGUUUAACUGCUUUCAUUUUGUAAUUUAUUAAUUUCUACUUUUAUUUCAUUAGUUCUUUCCACCUGCUUUCCUUGGAUUUUUUUUUGUCACUCUUUCUAGUCUUGCAUCGCAUGCUUCAUUCAUUCACGUUCUUCUCAGCUCCCCGCGCCCCACUGCCAGGACGGUGACCUCCGUGUGGAGCCUUCCCAAGGCAGGCUUCUGAUGCCGCCCAGGAUGAUGGGCUGGGGCCUGCAGGCACACGGAGGCCGUCAGCGAAGGGAAACAGCAAACUGCUGUUGCCUCAUCCCCCCAUUUCCAUCUCUAACGAUCCCUCCAGCAACAUCCUCCUUGGCCGGACACUGAGCUGGUCCCACAGACACAGGCAAGCAAGCUGACUGUCCUCACCUUCGUGGUGCCCCGUUCUCAUGGGGACAGGUCUCAGCUGGCGAUUAUACAAAUCAUGAGCCGGUACAGUUGCGGUAACAGCCGCGAGGGAGUGCAGUGCAGCCCCAGAGUGAAGCCAGAAAGCCCAGCCCUGGGCUCUCACUCAAGGCUAAGAAGCUGUAAGGAAGAGCAUUCCCCGCUGAGAGAAGGGCAUGAGCAAAGCCACUGAGCUGGAGUGCGAGGUGGGUCCGGGAGGCGAUGGUGCGUGGGGAUUCAGGACGUGCCCGUAGGGUGCCUGAAGGCCCCCCAUCUGUAUUUGGUAAAAGAGUUUGUUGUCUUUGUUUCCUGUACGUCUCACGGUUUCAGUUCUGAUGUAUAAUUUGGCUAUAGUUACUUAAGAGUAUGCUUUAAAAUUUCCAAGUGUUUGAAAUGUUUAACUGUCAUAAUCAGUUUAAUGAAUGAUUGGAAGUGACCUGUACAAUUUCUGUUGUUUUGAAUCUACAUUUCCCUUUCUUUGUUGCUUAAGGUUCGGUGUGGCAACUUUUAUGACUGUUGCAUGGCACUCGAGAAGGUACUCUCUCGUGUCGGGGACAUUUGGGCCCUGUCCCUCCUGUUAUUUUUUGGGCCAGCCCAGCUGCACUGUGUCCUCGUGUAACGAAGUGUGAUGCCAUUCUGCCUGGCACCUCGGCUUCUCCCCGCUGCCCUGAGCCAGUUGGCCAGCCUUGCUCCCUGUGUUCGGCUGCAGCGUUGCUGGCACACCCGAAUUCCACAACGCCCCUCCAGUGUGGAGAGCCCGCUGCCUGGGGUUCACUGUCCGGCGCCGGCCUGCGCCUGCGCCCACCCGUCCACAGUCGCUGGCUUCUCAGUUUGCAUUUGACUGAAGUACCAUUGGGGUCAUUUUCAGUUGUUGAGUUCUGAAACUGUUUCUAUAUCUCUUCUCUGCUUUCUGCCCAAAUGCCUGUGUUUAUUUUAUGAGGUUGUGAUUGGUAGUCAUUUUUUCCACAUCAGGCUAUAUUGUGGGCGGUUAUCCAGGCUGACAUCACCUACCCGCACUGGCUGAGGCCUUCCAGGGUGUGAGCCUGUUACAGCCACCGCCAUGUGGCCGGUACCAGCAUUUUGUGAAUGUAAGUCACAUUGUCACAAGUAUCUUUGGGCACAUCCCCUCUUAAGCCUCCAGGCUGCUUUUGGUUUGCGUUCCCGACUGGCCAAAGGGAUUGGCAGUUGCCCUUUCACCUUGCUCACUGCCCUGUACCCUCUCCAGAUGGUUCUAAGGGGCCAGUUUUGUGCUCCUGUUUCCACACCACGCUGCCAAUGCAAGUUUUUGGUUUUUCUCACUGUGUGUAGUGGUUCCUUGAAGCCACUUUCUCACCUUUAAGCCAUUGGCGCAUUUCCUAGUGUAGGCCACUCUCUGGGUUCCCCGAGGUAUAAACCUUAAAGAUCUUGUCACUAAUAUACUGGAUUAACUGUUUGCUCAUCUUGCAGACUAUGUCUUGACCACCCCAUCUCUGAGGCCUUCUGAGGCCGGAGCUUUGUUGCUUCGUCAGGUUGGGACUGGGAUGGCUGUGUGCAUUUCCCUCUGCUGCUGCGAUGAGACAAGUAGAGAGGACCCUGUUCUCAGCCUGACCUGAUGUUCUGUGUGACGCUGCACAGGCUGCAGCCCUUUCUGAGCCCCAGCUUCUCAUCUGGACCUUGUUGGGGAGGGGCUGCUGAGCUCCUCAGGACAGACAGGAGGGGCGCAGGGGCCCUCCCCCAUGGGAAACGGGGACAGGACCGCGGGACAGGACGGCAGAGCUCGUGCAGGUGCUCGCAGUGGACCUGCUGUGGCUGUGGAGAGGCGGAGCUGGCCUGGAAGCAGUGGGUGCUGUGCGCAGCACGCGGGGAGGGUGGCCUUCCUGUACCUCCUGCCUCUGUGGCCCUGGUGACUUGGACCCGUCCUCGCUGGAAUGCAGACCCUGGGUGAGAGGCUGGUGGGGCACAGUGCUUCCAACUUCAUUUUCAAGUAAUAGCUGUUCCCCCGGAAGGAGUGGUUCCGCAGUUAACGAUGGCCAAGUGACGGAGGACAAAGACGAGGCAGGUGGGCAGGCCUGUGCGGCCCCAUGGGCAGGGGCCCAGCAGACCUGGGGGACCACUGGCAUUUGAGCUAGACCUCUGUCCUUGAAGUUUCUCCUAGCUCUUAGAUUUCCUGUUCUGAUGAAAAACUUAAGAUUUUUUGUUUUUUAUUAUAAAAGUAAUCUGCAUAGAGUUAAAAAUUCAAGCCAUGAAAAAGGUACAAAAUGAAAGUAAAAUCCCUCACCCCACACCCAUUGCAUCCCCACUACACAGAAGAGGCCUUUCAAGUUUUUUAGAAUCUUUCUGGUAAUUUCUGUACACAUACAAAAAUUUGU